GACGAACGCUGGCGGCGUGCCUAAUACAUGCAAGUAGAACGCUGAAGAGAGGAGCUUGCUCUUCUUGGAUGAGUUGCGAACGGGUGAGUAACGCGUAGGUAACCUGCCUUGUAGCGGGGGAUAACUAUUGGAAACGAUAGCUAAUACCGCAUAACAAUGGAUGACACAUGUCAUUUAUUUGAAAGGGGCAAUUGCUCCACUACAAGAUGGACCUGCGUUGUAUUAGCUAGUAGGUGAGGUAAUGGGUCACCUAGUCGAAGAUACAUAGCCAACCUGAGAGGGUGAUCGGCCACACUCGGACUGAGACACGGCCCAGACGACUACGUGAGGCAGCAGUAGGGAAUCCUCGGCGAGUGGGGCAACCCUGACGGAGCAACGCCGCGUGAGGGAAGAAGGUUUUCGGAUCGUAAAGCUCUGUUGUAAGUCAAGAACGGGUGUGAGAGUGGAAAGUUCACUCUGUGACGGUAGCUGACCAGAAAGGGACGGCUAACUACGUG
rnacentral:rRNA from 1 species